GGGAGUACGGCCGCAAGGUUAAAACUCAAAUGAAUUGACGGGGGCCCGCACAAGCGGUGGAGCAUGUGGUUUAAUUCGAUGCAACGCGAAGAACCUUACCUGGUCUUGACAUCCACGGAAGUUUUCAGAGAUGAGAAUGUGCCUUCGGGAACCGUGAGACAGGUGCUGCAUGGCUGUCGUCAGCUCGUGUUGUGAAAUGUUGGGUUAAGUCCCGCAACGAGCGCAACCCUUAUCCUUUGUUGCCAGCGGUCCGGCCGGGAACUCAAAGGAGACUGCCAGUGAUAAACUGGAGGAAGGUGGGGAUGACGUCAAGUCAUCAUGGCCCUUACGACCAGGGCUACACACGUGCUACAAUGGCGCAUACAAAGAGAAGCGACCUCGCGAGAGCAAGCGGACCUCAUAAAGUGCGUCGUAGUCCGGAUUGGAGUCUGCAACUCGACUCCAUGAAGUCGGAAUCGCUAGUAAUCGUGGAUCAGAAUGCCACGGUGAAUACGUUCCCGGGCCUUGUACACACC
rnacentral:rRNA from 1 species